AAAGGGGUUAAAUUAGUCUGUUUUCAUAAAUCUAAGUUCCCAAAUACUUUAGAAAUAUCGUUAAGUAACUUCUGCUCAAGGCUCACGAUUAAUAAAAUUUAAUACUGCUAUGAAAGCUGGGCUACAAGAGGAAGAAAAGAGUUUGUACUUUGGAGAAGUUAGGUUUCCCAGAUUUCUUAGAGUUUCUCUUUAAAACACAAAGUUUUACCUAAGAAUUACUGAUAACAUAAUGACUCAAGAUGAAAUGUAUCUACUUGCUUUUUUGAAUGCUGUACUACAGAAGUCCUUAAUGACCUAUGAUGACAUAACAAGGCUGAUGAAAAAGGCACUAUGGUUUGGGGAAACUGCCAGCCAACCUCUCCUGUGGCCUAUUCUAAGCAUAAUUAGCAGGUAGAUUACUUUUUUCCUGAGAAUUAGUCAUAGUCACGCGUACUAGGUACAACCUCUGGGUCUAAAGAACUCAAGCAGAAGCCUGGCGUAGUGCCCCAUGCCUUUAAUCCCCACGCCUUUAAUCGUAGCACUCAGAAGGCAGGGGCAGGCGGAUCGCUUUGAGUUCAAGACCUACAUAGUGAGUUCCAGGGCAGCCAAAUCUACCCCUGACUAAAAAUAAGUACACAAUAUUUUUUUAACUUAAUGUAACCAGAGCAUGUCCGGUGGACGGCAGAGACUGCGAUUGUUCGCUAGUAAAAAGGGCUAGUCGACAACUGACAGCAAGGCGGCUAGGUGAAGAAUAAACGAGAUUCUGCCCACUUCAAGCUAACACUGGAGAUGUUUUAGUGGCCUAGCCACUCCAUCAAACUCACUCGGUUUAAACAAUGGGAACGUCCUCCCCGACCCUGCCAUUGGGUCGGUCCGGCAUCCCGGCCCACUCCACUCAGUGCGGCAACUGCCUGCUCCGACCCCACCGGCGAGCUCCGCCGGCCCGGCCCCGGGGAAGCUGACCCCAACCCCACCCUAAGCACCGGCUGUGACGCAACCAUCUCGGGGUACCGCGCUUCGCUGCCCAAAGCAACUGAGCAACCGUAGGACACCAAGGCCAAGCCGGCACACAAAGCGGGACGCGACUCAAGCGCCGCCCUCCCAGGUCCUUACCCGUGCGCCCCGACGCAGCUUCUCCAAACCGCGGCGGCCCGGCUCCGGCUCCGGCUCCGGCUCCGGCUCCGGCUCCGGCUCCGGCUCCCUCACCCUCGCCGCACACGCUCCGACCUCGCCUCUAACAGCCGAGCAACCUUCGUCCUGUUCGGCCCGCUCACUACUGGCGGGAGCCUGUUGCUGGCACAACCGCCUCUAGAGAAGACCUACACGAAACGCUUCCCCAUUGGCUCCCGUCGGCCCACCUGACUUUGGCGCCCUACGCGCACGUGGAAAACUGUUGUUGCCGUUUGAUCCCUACGUCACUUCCGUUGCCACCCUCCAGGGGGCGGUGCUAAAUGUGAGGAAACGGAAGUGAGUCGACGAUUUCCUCAUCCUUCCCUGGGGCGCAUCGCUGCGCAGGCGCUGUAAAUGGUGAGCCUGGCCCUGCGGCCCCGCCUAGAGAACAGUGCUCUCUGGCGCCCCUCGCGGGCGGAAAACUUCGCUACUGCGUGGCCAUCGCUCUCGCGGUCGUGACCGGAAGAUGAGCUAUUAUUCUGUUCAGCUCAUACCGUGGACAAGGCAUGGUGGUGCACAUUGAUAAUCUCAACACUCUGGAUGCUGAAGCAAGACAAUUGGGAGCUCAAGGCCACAUUGGACAUCAUAGGAGAGAUCAUGUAAGCAAAAAGAAAAAGGAAAGUUAAUAGUGCAGUUAUCUUAAAAAUUCAAAGAAAUUACAGAAGAUAGUUGUAAUGGUUUGUAUAUUUGUGGCCUAGGAAGUGGCUCUAUUAGGAGGUAUGGCCUUGUUGGAGUGGGUGUGUCACUGUGGGCAUGGGCUUAAGACCCUCACCCUAGCAGCCUUAAGAUGAAGGUGUAGAACUCUCAGCUCUUCUUGCACCAGGCCCUCCUGGACACUGCCAUGCUCCCGUCUUGAUGAUAAUAGACUGAACCUCUGAACUUGUAAGCCAGCUUCAAAUGUUAUCCUUUAUCAUACUAGCAGUGGUCAUGGUUUUACAGCAGUAAAAACCUAAGAUAUAAGUUGGUACCAGGGACAUGGGUAUUGCUGUGAUAGGCCUGACCAUGCUUUUGUUUGGAAGAAUGUGGAUUCUGGAACUUUGGAUUUGGAAAGCAGUAGACUACUUUAAAUGGGGCUUAAUGGGUUAUCCUAGUAGGAAUAUGGAAGUCUUUGCUACUGAGAGUGAUUUGACUUAUGCAGCCCUGGCCCAAAGAGGUUUCAGAAGAGAAUUUCAGUAUGUGGUAUAAAGACUGUUUUUGUUGUAUUUUGGUGAAGACUAUGGCUGCUUUUUGCCUUUGUCCGAAGAGUCUGUCUAAAGCUAAGAUAAAGAUAUUUAUAUUAAUUGCAUUGACAAAGGAAGUCUUAAGAGAUGCCCAACAUAGACUCUGUUCUCUGGUUAAGUCUCAUGAAGAACAUUUUGAACAAUCACGUAGUUUAGAAAGGAAAAAUAUAAAGUAUACGGUUAGAGCAUUAAAGGGGCACCAGUAAGUGAAAUGGAGCAGAAUCAUGUAUUCAAGGAUAUCACUGAAUUAAGAAAGUGAGACUUUGGAGCAAGAUCCUACCUUGCUAAAUUUAGAUCCAGGCAUGGUGGCACACACCGUUAAUCCCAGGAGAUAAAGUGCAAUAGAUCUCUGAGUUCAAGGCCAGCCUAGGACAGAGCAAGUUCUAGGUGAAGAAAAGCUUUAAUCAAAAUCAGGUGUAGUGAUGACCACCUUUAAUCCCAGGAGACUGGCAUGCAGCUCUCUGAGUUCAAGGUCAAUAUACAGUGCAAUCUACAGCCAAGCUUGGGCAGUGAAGGAGUUGCAAAAGAGGAAGCUAGUGAUACUGUGACCAUGUUCCAGGUCCUACAAGCAGCAGAACUAGUCAGCUUUGACUAAGUGGCUCUGGCUUUAGAGUCAAGAAUAGAAGGGAUUACUUGCACAAUUGAUGCUUGUUAGCUGGAACUAAGAAACUAGUGGUGAUAAAGAAGAGACCAGCAUUACUGAGGUGAAAUUUUCUGGGAAGUGUUUUCUGAGAGCACAAAGAAACUGUACUAGAGAUAGCCAAAAUUGUACCUCCUUCUGCAGCUGUACUGGGUAAUGUAUAAGAUUCACCCAGGUGGUACUGGUUUUGAAGAUAUGAAGGCAUCCUGAAGAACAGCUGAGGCUUGGCACUGUGAGAGGCCAUGGAAAGUCAUUGGUGAAGGUGCAGCCUCAGUUGCAGUUGAUGGCCCAGGACUGAAGGGGUUGGUCAUGCAAAAAGCUAAGACUUGGCAGCAUGAGGAAAGCCUAUGAGAGGCUAUUGGUGAAGCCUAGUUGCAGCAGAAGACCCCAGUGUAUUGGAGACACCAAUACAAUGGGAUGACACCAAGAACAGCAGUGCUAUAGAGUGGAUCAACUUGAGCUUAGAGUGCUACAGGGGGCAAAACUGGAGAAGAUAUGCUCUUUGGGGGAGCCCAGAAGAUCAGGUGUGGUUCUCAGACAUUGAAACAAGAAGCUGUAAGUUUGAAGUUGCCUUGGAACCCGCAAGAUGUUCAAGAUGCCAGAGCCAUGGUCUGUCUACUGAGAAAAGCUGCUAACAGAGUGGAACCAGCUAAGGUGAAAGAAGUUUGUUGCUGUCAACAAAGAUGAAAAAGGAGCUGGAGUUCUGAAGACCACUUUGACAUCACACAUGGAGAUGCAGAGUUUGGACUUUGUCCAGCUGGUUUCCUGUCUUGCUUUAGGGGUUACAGUUAAGUGAUUGUGAUGAAUCUCAGAAGAGACCUUGAACUUUGGACUUUUAACAUUUUUUAGGCUGGUAUAGACUAUGGAGACUGGUAGUCGAACUAAAUGUAUUUUACACAUGGUAUAUUUAGGUAUGGUCCCCAUAGACUCAUAUGUUUAAACAAGACUAUGGGGGCCAGGGAGUGGAAUACGAUAGUUUGUAUAUGCUUGGCCCAGGAAGUGGCACUAUUAGAAAGCAUGGCCUUGUUGGAGUAGGUGUGUCACUGUGGGCAUGGGCUUAAGACUCUCACUCUAGCUGCCUGGAAGUUAGUCACUAGCAGCCUUCAGGUGAAGAUGUAGAACUCUCAGCUCUUCUUGCACCAUGCCUGCCUAGAUGCUACCAUGCUCCCACCUUGAUGAUAAUGGCCUAAAACUCUGAACCUGUAAGACAGCCCCCAGUUAAGUGUUGUCCUUUAUGACUUGCAUUGAUCAAGGUGUCUGUUCACAGCAGUAAAAACCCUAAGACAAUAGUGAAACAAAAUAUCAAAAAAAAAAUUAAGUCAAUGUGAGAAAUUAUUCAGGAAAAAUCUAGAUUUCUUAAAGAGCAUGGUGAACAUCCCUGUUCAUAAUUAGAGGACAUCAGGACGCGAACUUAAGCAGGGCAGGAGCUAAUGGGGGGUGCUGCUUACUAGCUUGUUCUUCCUAGCUUGUUCAGCUUGCUGGUGAUCGUUACAGAGAUUCUUGCUUUUGCAGUACUCAGUAAUAGAUUACUUAGAUAUUAUAUGCAAGCUAAUCAUUUGGCAAAACUUUAAAAAAAUACAUCAAAGUUCUCUUUCUUUUUUAAAAUUUCACUUUUCCUCUACAUUACAAAGAAAGAAUUGAAAAGUGGUUAAAGAAUAUGAAGUGAGAUUCUCAGGUUCCCAGUAAGUACCAAUUCCUGUGUAGUGACCAUUUUACUCCUGACUCUCUUGCCAUCAGAUAGGGUAUCCAUUUUUUUAAAAGCAAACUGUAAUCCCAACAAUAUUUUUCUUUGCCUGAACACUGUCAAGUAUUGAAGGAGUGGAGAGGGAGUAAAGUUGAGUAGGGUGGCCCAUUACUGGGAUGAUUUUCAAGGUGAUUGAGUAGAGAAAGCAAAAAAGAUUACUAAUGAGAAAUGCAUGAGAGAAAAACAACACUAAUUUGUACCAGUACUAAAAGUAUGGCAAUAUAUUUAAAAUUUAAAUUGUUAUGAAGCCAUUUAAAACAACAACAAAAAAUAGCACUUGGAUACAUACAUUGUAUUAAAAUUAACUAAUAGGUUAUGCUUUCAUACCAGUCAUUUAAAAACCUAAAAUGUUUGUCAUAUAUUGAAGAGUGUACUGCUCUUAAAAAUUAAUUAAAAAUAUACUAAGUAGAAGUUUCUUGCUUAAAUACAUUUGUUUGGCCAGUAUACUACUUAAAGUUAUAGCUUCAUGGUUCCAACUGAUAAGAGUCUAUAUAUUUUUCAGAUUUUAAAAUAUUUUCUAGGGAGAAGAUAUUGCUGAAAAAAUAAAAAUAAGUCUCAGAAGAGAAAAUUGAGAGAUGAGAAAGAAGUAUGCCUAAAAGCUAAGUCUUAAGAAUCAUUUGUAUCCUUGUAUUUCCUUUAAACAGCAGCAAUUUUGGGUUAGAAUUUUGGAGAUGGGUAGGUGACCCCAUCCCUUAACUGUGGGGAGCUAUGCCUAAACUCUAGUUAUAGUCUCAACAGGUUCUCCCUCCCCUCUGUAGGGUAUUUCAGUUGAUGUCAUCACCAUGGGGUCCUGGGAGGCCCUUUCUUUCCCAGCAUCUGGGACUUUCUGAUUCCCAUCCAGAGACUGCCUCAUCUGGGGAUCCAUCCCAUACGCAGACACCAAACCCAGACACUAUUGCUGAUGCCAAGAAGUGCUUGCUGACAGGAGUCUGACACAGCUGUCUCCUGAGAGGCUCUUUGAGCUAUAAGAGCAGCAUCUAGGAAGAUGAAUUAUAAACCAACUACAACAGGAGAGCUGGCUAUCUGAAGAAAAUGUCAAGAUAGCAGAACUAUUUCAGAAUGUAUGACGUCAGCAUGAUAUAAAGAUGUUUUUAAGGUGUGGUCUUUGCGUAAGCUUUUCCAGCUUAAUCAUGUGAAGUGAACUUUGUCCUAUAAAUAAAGUUCUUUGAAGCUA